rnacentral:rRNA from 1 species
CAGUCGCGUUCUCUGGGAUUCAGCCUUGCUUCUUGCUUGGUGCAUUUCCUAGUCUACGGGCCAGCAUGAAUCUUGAGCGGUGGAAAAGGGUUUGGGGAAUGUGGCACCUCCGGGUGUGUUAUAGCCCCUUGCUGUAUACACUGGUUGGGAUUGAGGAUUGCAACGGAUACCCUUCGGGGCUACUCGUCUGAUCUCUGAAGGUUGCUCCGGUACCGAAAGCGUGCUUACGGUCAUCGAAAGUGAUUUUCAAAAGGUUAGAACGGGUUAAAUUCGUUAAGGAUGUUGACGUAAUGGCUUUAAACGACCGUCUCGAAACACGGACCAAGGACUCUAACAUAUAUG